rnacentral:rRNA from 1 species
UACGUAGGGUGCAAGCGUUAAUCGGAAUUACUGGGCGUAAAGCGUACGCAGGCGGCUUUGCAAGACAGGUGUGAAAUCCCCGGGCCUAACCUGGGAACUGCAUUUGUGACUGCAUGGCUAGAGUUUGUCAGAGGGGGGUGGAAUUCCACGUGUAGCAGUGAAAUGCGUAGAUAUUGGAAAGAACACCGAUGGCGAAGGCACUCUACUGGGCUAUUACUGACACUCAGAGACGAAAGCUAGGGGAGCAAAUGGG